UUUACAUCAAAAUCAUAAAAUCAAAAGAACGUAGUAUCUGAAUGAGGACUGUGAAUUUUUUAAACUUCUCUUUGUUUAGUGUCACAUUAAUAAAUUGGAAAAGAAUAUGUAACUGAUUUACAGAAAGGAAUCAGAAAAUAUGAAUCCAGUUACACCUCCAGAUUUCAACAAUUCACCCCACUGAGCUGUUGUUUCCUCUUGACCUUCUCUAUGAGGCAUCAGAGGCUUCCGAGGGGUAUCCGUUCACCACAAGAGCUCCCUUAGAAGCUGCCCAACUAUUAUGCUGUUUCUAGGCCAUGGAUACUUAAAUUUGGCACAUCCUGAAGCAACAACAUGGUCACCCCAGACUGUGUCAUCUCAAUAACUGGAAGAAAUCAACAAUUGCCCUGUUAAAGCAUCUGUCAUUAUUCCACUUUAAUACAUGUCCAGCUUCCUCUAUUUCCCUUUCAGCUCACCCAGUCAUUUGCUUUGCUCUCCAGGUGCCCAAGCCCAAGCCCUGAGGGAUGCUGAGGACACUUAACACCCUUGUUCCCAAGAAGAGGAGGAGGCUGGUGUGAGGAAGGAAUGGUUUAAGCUUCAUGUGCCAGCAUCCAGUGGGAAUGGGACCUAAGUACUCUGAACAUUCUGUCAGCUUGCUUACCUGAUAAGGCAAGAAUGAGAAUCAUUUUCCUAGGAAACAAUGGUAUCUGUCAUGAAACUGCAAAGACUAACAGUAUUUACAACUCCAAUGGGGCUCCAGCAAUUAACCAUGAACCAGCUGCCUGUCACCUGGCCUUGAAGAACAAUUCAGUCUUAUGUUCUUGUAGCUCUUUCCAACACUUUCGCCAGGAAGAGAAAAUGGAGGGUUACCAAUAAACCUUUUGCUUUGGAUAUA